rnacentral:tRNA from 1 species
CCCCAGGUGGCUCAGUCGGUUGAGCAUCCGACUUCAGCUCAGGUCAUGAUCUCACGGUUCCUGGGUUCGAGCCCCGCCUCGGGC